rnacentral:rRNA from 1 species
AGAGAUUGAACUGAAGAGUUUGAUCCUGGCUCAGAUUGAACGCUGGCGGAAUGCUUUACACAUGCAAGUCGAACGGCAGCACGGGGGCUU